CAAGAAAUAGUUUAUUAAAAAUAUUAGCUUUGGGAGUUAAUGAAAAAGAAUUUCUUUUUUCUUGA